rnacentral:rRNA from 1 species
GACGAACGCUGGCGGCGUGCUUAACACAUGCAAGUCGAACGAUGAACCACUUCGGUGGGGAUUAGUGGCGAACGGGUGAGUAACACGUGGGCAAUCUGCCCUUCACUCUGGGACAAGCCCUCGGAAACGGGGUCUAAUACCGGAUACCACUCUCGCGGGCAUCUGCGAGGGUUGAAAGCUCCGGCGGUGAAGGAUGAGCCCGCGGCCUAUCAGCUUGUUGGUGAGGUAAUGGCUCACCAAGGCGACGACGGGUAGCCGGCCUGAGAGGGCGACCGGCCACACUGGGACUGAGACACGGCCCACGACUCCUACGGGAGGCAGCAGGUGGGGAAUAUUGCACAAUGGGCGAAAGCCUGAUGCAGCGACGCCGCGUGA